CUGAGUCGGCUGACCCGUGACCCAGACGGCGCGCUCUGAUUGGCUGCCAGGAAGGGUCAGUGAGGUCGUAGACCAGCGUGGCGGAGCGGGGCACGGAGCCUGGUUUGACUAACAGUUUCAUAUUCAGAUGUCUGUUCACAUGGAGCACAAUGAACUAAUUGGAGCAUCAAAUCCAACGCAGUAUCUUUGUCAGACUUGGGUGGGGAUUUUAGAGCAAUACUGAAUGCUUAAAGGAUGUAACCAGUUAAGUAAAGCCUGCUUCAUUAGAAAAAGGUGCUAGGGUAGAAAAAGAUUUAUUAUUUUUCUACUUAAAACAAUAAUUGAAGUGCAAAUACAGACUGAAGUUCCAGUGUCAUGUAGAGUAACUACAAUGUUAAGCAAGGAAUUAUGUUCCUGAAAAAUGCUACUUUAAGCAAAAUGAUGUUAAGCAAAUCUAAUUUCCCAAUAAGAAUUAAUGUAAAUUGUGGGGGGUUAGGUUCCAGGGAAAUUUUUACAAACAAUUUAAUACUGUACACAGCAAGAUUGUGAAGCUUGGUUGAGGUGGGGGAGUCAGAGGGUGGGAUAUUGAUCUAGCACUUGCCUGAGCCCUCAAGGGUUAACACAUUGUCAAUGUAGCCUCAUGCUCUACAAGGCAGCCUGAAGAGAUGGCAUGGCAGAGAGACGGAGACACGCACCAUGUGUAAGAGAGACAGACGUGCAUUGCCCUUUUAGGUACGCUGACCCCACACUAAGUACGCUGCCUUUUUUAAGUAGAUCAGCAAGUUGACAGCAGCUGCUGACAGCAAGCUUUCUCCAUCCUGAGCCCUGUCAUGGCCCCCUGCUCUACGGAGAAGGGGUACAGGACUGGGGGGGCAGGAGUAGGGGAAACACUGACAUUAGCACCUCGUUCCCCCUUCUGUACAGCAAACAGGAGGCUCCCGAGAGGGACAGCUGAACUGCCUGGAUAUUGAUAGCCUGCUGGGCAACUACAGCACAGGGAACUGCAAGGGGCCUGCCAGUCCACCCUAGUUCCAAGCCCCCACCAGCUAGCUCCAAUAGGCUGCUCUUUCUGCAAGCAGUGAACAAAGCAGGUGGCUGCUGAAUAACAUAAGGGAGCAUUGCACAACUUUAAACGAGCAUGUUCCCUAAUCGAUCAGCAAUGAAACAAUGUUCACUGGAAUGGCUAAGUUACUGUACUAACUAACUUUAAAAUUACAUAAAUCUUAGGUCAUGACACUAAUGAAUCACUGAUUUAAAAUUAAUUUAAAAUGCUCAAAGUCCAUAGGACUAAGCGUAAUUCAAUGGAAAAGUCAGUGAUCAGUCAUAGGCUGCAAUAAGGAGACAAACUGUUUUCUUCACUUCUGCUAGCUGAGACAGAAAAGCACUAUUGGAUGCCAAAAGACCUUAGG